UGCAAGUAUUUCAUGAGUAAUUUUUGCAUCU
rnacentral:piRNA from 1 species